AGCAGUGUGGCCUAAGGGAUAAAGCAGUGGCCUGGGAGCCAGAGGACCUGGGUUCUAAUCCCAGCUCUGUUA
rnacentral:tRNA from 1 species